rnacentral:misc_RNA from 1 species
AUAAAAUCUAAUCUAAAAGUAACAGAUGGUACCAUUAGCAUUAAUGGUUUCUCUUGUUUAUAUUGCUCUUAGGAUAGAGAAAUAGAUUAUAUGUAGUCAAUUAAUACAUUAGCACUAAAACAAAUCUACAUUGUUACUCUUUCAAAAUAAUUUCAAUCGAAAUUUUAUUUAAAUCGUAUUUUCAUCCUAGCAAUUACAGAUAAUUCAAAUUUUUAAACUUCGCGCGUUUAGUUGUAUAUUGAACAGUCAUUAAAAAUGUUUUAUACUCGAUCGUACGUAGAUCAGGAAAAAAUAGUUCGAUGAUAACAAUGAUUCGGUUAUUUUCAAAAAAUAUACAUAAAGACCAAAGUAAGGAUUAAAUUUCUAUCUAAGUAACCAAAUUUUUCAAGAAAAUUAGGAAAUGAAAUUUAACCAACCUGAC